UUGCGCAAGUAAUGAUUUAUUGAGCAAUAUUAGCAAUCAUCUGCCGCGUGGUCGGGUUUAUUAUUUUUCACAGCUGGGCACUUCUAAAAACCUGAGUGAUUUUUAGAGCUGCUCCCAAUCACUGCCCGGACCCAGCGUCCACAGCCGCUCGUCGAAUCAGAUGAGCGGCGGCCCGCCACCCAACAGGGUGGACCCGGCCCCCGGGCUGCAUACUGUCCAGAAGACGGUAUGAAGUGAGCCGGCGCCACAAGCGUCGAGCCAGGACGACGUAUCCCAAGGGGGCCAUCUGGCCCCCU
rnacentral:sRNA from 1 species